AAAAGAAACCAACAGGGAUUGCCCCAGUAACGGCGAGUGAAGCGGCAACAGCUCAAAUUUGAAAUCUGGCGCUUGCGCCCGAGUUGUAAUUUGCAGAGGAUGCUUCUGGCAAAGUGCCUUCCGAGUUCCCUGGAACGGGACGCCAUAGAGGGUGAGAGCCCCGUACGGUCGGUUGCUGCGCCGCUGUGAAGCGCCUUCGACGAGUCGAGUAGUUUGGGAAUGCUGCUCUAAAUGGGAGGUAAACUCCUUCUAAAGCUAAAUAUUGGCCAGAGACCGAUAGCGCACAAGUAGAGUGAUCGAAAGAUGAAAAGCACUUUGAAAAGAGAGUCAAACAGCACGUGAAAUUGUUGAAAGGGAAGCGCUUGUGACCAGACUUGGGCUUGGUAGUUCAGCCGUCCUUCUGGGCGGUGCACUCUGCCGGUUCAGGCCAGCAUCAGUUGUCGGUCGGGGAGAAAGAUGGCGGGAACGUGGCUCUUCGGAGUGUUAUAGCCCGCUAUUAUGCCCUUCCGGCGACUGAGGUUAGCGUUCUGCACGGAUGCUGGCGUAAUGGUUAUCAGCGACCCGUCUUGAAACACGGACCAAGGAGUCAUCCUAAUAUGCGAGUGUUUGGGUGUCAAACCCCUACGCGGAAUGAAAGUAAACGGAGGUGAGAGCUUCGGCGCAUCAUCGACCGAUCCUGAUGUUUUCGGAUGGAUUUGAGUAAGAGCAUAUUGGGCUGGACCCGAAAGAAGGUAAGCAGAACCCCUACAUCCAGUAUCCCAUCCAGCAUGGCUUGCCGGGAAGUAGUGGUAUAAUAGCAGGUACUAGUGGGUUUAUGAUCGGUGGGCUUGCUGUUGUGCCGCUAGUUGUCGUGCUAUGCCUGCUGGAUUUCCCGUGCUACGAGUGACAUGUUAAACCGCGAGAAUAUGCUAACAGAAAACAGGUGAACUAUGCUUGGAUAGGGCAAAGCCAGAGGAAACUCUGGUGGAGGCUCGCAGCGGUUCUGACGUGCAAAUCGAUCGUCAAAUCUGAGCAUGGGGGCGAAAGACUAAUCGAACCUUCUAGUAGCUGGUUUCCGCCGAAGUUUCCCUCAGGAUAGCAGUGCUGAUCUCAGUUUUAUGAGGUAAAGCGAAUGAUUAGGGACUCGGGGGCUUAUUAUGGCCUUCAUCCAUUCUCAAACUUUAAAUAUGUAAGAAGCCUUUGUUGCUUUAGUGAACGAAGGCAUUAGAAUGUACAGCACUAGUGGGCCAUUUUUGGUAAGCAGAACUGGCGAUGCGGGAUGAACCGAUCGCGAGGUUAAGGUGCCGGAGUGGACGCUCAUCAGACACCACAAAAGGUGUCGUCACAUCUUGACAGCAGGACGGUGGCCAUGGAAGUCGGAAUCCGCUAAGGACUGUGUAACAACUCACCUGCCGAAUGUGACGGCCCUGAA
rnacentral:rRNA from 1 species